AGUCAUACGCUCGUCUCAAAGAUUAAGCCAUGCAUGUGUAAGUAUAAGAUACUUUAUCGAAACUGCGGACGGCUCAUUAUAUCAGUUAUAGUUUAUUUGAUAAUCCCUCACUACUUGGAUAACCGUAGUAAUUCUAGAGCUAAUAUAUGCAUCAAAGCGGAACUCUCGGGAACCGCCGUGUUUAUUAGUAUUAAACCUUCACUCUUCGGAGUUGAUUUGGUGAGUCAUAAUAACCUUUCGAAUUGCAUGACCACGUGUCGGCAAUGGAUCAUUCAAGUUUCUGCCCUAUCAGCUUGGGAUGGUAGUGUAUUGGACUACCAUGGCUUUAACGGGUAACGAA
rnacentral:rRNA from 1 species